rnacentral:rRNA from 1 species
AGCUCCAAUAGCGAAUAUUAAAAUUGUUGCAGUUAAAAAGCUCGUAGUUGGAUCCAAGGUUGGGCAUGCCUGUCUGUUCUUAGUAGCAUGACUGUGUGUGUCCGCCUUUAUUAGUUGACUGUUCACUAUGGUGGUUUUUACCGACUGCUAUAGUGUGCUCAACACGUUUACCUUGAAAAAAUCAGAGCGAUCCAGGCAGGCCUUUGUGCUUGUAUGUUGUUGCAAGGAAUAAUAGAAUAGGACUUCGGUUCUAUUUUGUUGGUUUUGAGAAUUGAAGUAAUGAAUAAUAGAGACAGUCGGGGGCAUUUGUAUGGUGGCGUUAGAGGUGAAAUUCUGAGAUCGUCGCCAGACAAACUACUGCGAAAGCAUUUGCCAAGUAUGUCUUCAUUAAUCAAGAACG